CCUACGGGGGGCAGCAGUGGGGGAUAUUGGACAAUGGGGGAAACCCUGAUCCAGCGACGCCGCGUGAGUGAAGAAGUAUUUCGGUAUGUAAAGCUCUGUCAGCAGGGAAGAAAGAAAUGACGGUACCUGACCAAGAAGCCUCGGCUAACUACGUGCCAGCAGCCGCGGUAAUACGUAGGGGGCAAGCGUUAUCCGGAAUUACUGGGUGUAAAGGGAGCGUAGAUGGUGAGGCAAGUCUGGAGGGAAAGGCCGGGGCCCAACCCCGGGACUGCUCCUGAAACUGUGUAACUUGAGUGCAGGAGAGGUAAGCGGAAUUCCUAGUGUAGCGGUGAAAUGCGUAGAUAUUAGGAGGAACACCAGUGGCGAAGGCGGCUUACUGGACUGUAACUGACGUUGAGGCUCGAAAGCGUGGGGAGCAAACAGGAUUAGAUACCCGAGUAGUC
rnacentral:rRNA from 1 species